rnacentral:lncRNA from 1 species
GUCUGGGCCUCCUGGAACUCACUAUUUAUCCCAACCUGGGAAGUUGGGAGGAGUAGCUGUGAGUCAAGUAUUAUGGAAAGUCAGAAAAGGGCACAAGUAAUUGUUUCCAGAGGAGGUGAAACUUGCCCCAGGCACUCAACAGCAGCAAACUAGGACCAGGUGCCUACAAUCUCAAGGCAAGCACAGCUCUUGCCCUCGGGGGCUUAAAUCCCAGGGCAGUUUAACUGGUUUGCGGACCACCUACUUCAGAAUUGUCCUGGUGCUUGCUAAGAUGUGGAUUUCUCUUUUUCCCAGAGGAUCUGGGAAACACAAAAAGCGGGGCUGCGUGUAGCACCUAGGUGAUUCUGAUGCACACUCAAAUUUGACAGAUCGAAACGAUCAGGAGCGUCAAAGGGAAAAACGAAGUCAGAGGCAGAAGAAAAAGGUGUUCCCCAGGCGAUGAAAACUUUCCAGUAAGUUGUCUUGGAAAAGGCAACUCCGCGUAAUAGAGGGACUUGGGGAGGUAGCCGCUGCGGGAAAGGGCGAUGAGUCCUGGGGUGCUGCAGCGGGGGAGUGGGUAGGAGGCGCCUCCUAGCUUCCCCAGGGCGGCCGAGGCAUGAGGUCACCUGGCACAGCAACAGCAGCAGCUGCGGAGGACGCGCAGGCGCUGCGGCGGGAGGCAGUGUCAGGCUCGGGCCCCUGGGGAAUUCCUCCCCUCCUUUCCCCCCCGCACCAGUCCCCUAGAGAGGCGUACCCGGGUCCCGCCCGCCAGAGCCUGAGCUUUGUACCGCCCACCAAGGCCACGCCCCCUACCAGCUGUGGGGCGCCGCAGAGGUCCUUUCUUCGGCUCCGGAGCGGUCCCUCCGCCUUCCCCGCUCGAGGCCACGCCCCCGUGCUCCUGCCGCCUUAUUUUCCCC